GACGAACGCUGGCGGCGUGCUUAACACAUGCAAGUCGAACGGAAAGGCCCUGCUUUUGUGGGGUGCUCGAGUGGCGAACGGGUGAGUAACACGUGAGUAACCUGCCCUUGACUUUGGGAUAACUUCAGGAAACUGGGGCUAAUACCGGAUAGGAGCUCCUGCUGCAUGGUGGGGGUUGGAAAGUUUCGGCGGUUGGGGAUGGACUCGCGGCUUAUCAGCUUGUUGGUGGGGUAGUGGCUUACCAAGGCUUUGACGGGUAGCCGGCCUGAGAGGGUGACCGGCCACAUUGGGACGGAGAUACGGCCCAGACGCCUACGGGAGGCAGCAGGGGGGAAUAUUGCACAAUGGGCGGAAGCCUGAUGCAGCAACGCCGCGUGCGGGAUGACGGCCUUCGGGUUGUAAACCGCUUUCGCCUGUGACGAAGCGUGAGUGACGGUAAUGGGUAAAGAAGCACCGGCUAACUACGUG
rnacentral:rRNA from 1 species